AGCCAGCAAUAGCAAACGGGCCCCGUACGGUUUAUAUCCGGGUUUACGGGAUACGGGAUCUAAAUGGGCGCGAGUACUGGUUUCCUGAUGGGUCCCGUAUGGCUAAAAAAUCACGCUAAAACUCUCGUAGAAAUCAUAUCUGGGUUACGGAAUAUGGGAAUGUGAUGGGUUUCCCAUUUGGGGCCCAAUUGGUUCUGUUACAAGAAAAUAUUUUAUAAAACCGAAUCUUAAAUUUCGCCAUUUACAAUAACAAAAUUAAUUGAGUUUCAAAGAAGUUCAUAAAAUGGAACUUGUAUACAUUAUUUUUACAUUAUAAUUAAAGAGAAAUCGGUUUUUCGUUGGAUUUUGUUUCUACAUUAAAACUGGAUUAUGUUAGCGUUUAAGUUUAUAUAAAAGAAGUUUUUAUUUCUUUAAAAAACGAACUAAAUUUUACUAUGCAUAAAGUUAGUUAUUUUAAAGAAUUGAAUUAAAUAUCGUUCACCUUUACAAAAAUUAGUUUCACGAUUAAUUUUCAUGUCACAAUAUUAUAAUGUUGACAUCUUCAUUUUUACUGUUUUACUUCCUUGACAAAGAAGUAAACAAGGAACUUGUGGCAUAAAUUCUUGGCAACAUUACAAAAUUACAACCCGUAUAAAUAUAUUUUUUUUCAAUGCAAAUUAAAAGAUAACUUUUCGCACAGCUACUCGUCAAACAAAUAAAAUGAUGUAUGCAAUUGUUGCCUUUGAUGAGGAAAAUAACACUGACUAUCUACCUCUAAUUUGGCUUGUUAAUGCGAUGAGCGAAAAUGUUCUGUCUAUAAUAUCUUCAAGGAAAUCAACAGAUUUUUAUUGGCCACGCUGGACAAAUAUGAAAAAAAUUCACGCAGCAAAAUCAAUCUGUCAAGAACCAGAAGUUGGUUGGCUGCGAUUUUCUGGAAGAAUUUUGUCCACUGCUGACACAGAAUCUGAAGCAAAAGAAAAAUGUAAAUAUGCGGAAGAUACAUCAAAUGUUGAUGAACUAUAUCUAAAAAAUCGAAAAAGCCAGUCUUGUGAAGAAGAUUCUCAAGUAAAGUUAUUUGAAAAAAAAAAGGAAAUUGAAUCUAUUUUUUUUAAAGAAGAACUUAGUAAAUCAAUAAAGAAAAAGAAAACAGAGUCAACAAAAGGACAUAUGAAGUUCAAUAAAAGUUUUGAAGACCUUAAUAAAUCCCCAGAACAAGCUUUUAUCAAGCCAGAUGUUCCUUUAAUUCCUCGAUGUUCUAACACUUCAGAUGAUGUUGAUUUCAAUAAAAAUUCUUUAACAGAUUUUUCAUUCAAUUUGUCUGAAACUUAUCAAAGAAUGCCUAAUUCUUCAACAAUAGUACCUUUUGCUGCAGCAGAAAAUUCAGGUUCACAUUGGCUGUUGGCAAUAUUUGUCUAGUGGUGUGAGUUGACUACAGAACGUCUCCAAUUUUAGUUAAUGACUCCAAUUAAAUAAACUCCUUUAAUGGCAGGUCUUAUUGAAAAAGAUAUUGUAUGAAGAAAAAAGUGCUUAAAGAAGUGGUUUUCACAAAGAUUUUAAUUCAUGAUUACGAUACGAUUCACGAUUAAAGAAUAAAAAUGUAAUUUUAAUGUGCUUUUUGUUUGAAAUAAAUAAGCAUAUAAUAUGAA
rnacentral:misc_RNA from 1 species